rnacentral:rRNA from 1 species
AUGCUAUUUCUAGAGAUAGAAAGGUUACUUCGGUACAUCGGUGACAGGUGGUGCAUGGUUGUCGUCAGCUCGUGUCGUGAGAUGUUGGGUUAAGUCCCGCAACGAGCGCAACCCCUAUUGUUAGUUGCCAUCAUUCAGUUGGGCACUCUAGCGAGACUGCCGGUAAUAAACCGGAGGAAGGUGGGAUGACGUCAAAUCAUCAUGCCCCUUAUGACCUGGGCUACACACGUGCUACAAUGGUUGGUACAACGAGUUGCGAGUCGGUGACGGCGAGCUAAUCUCUUAAAGCCAAUCUCAGUUCGGAUUGUAGGCUGCAACUCGCCUACAUGAAGUCGGAAUCGCUAGUAAUCGCGGAUCAGCACGCCGCGGUCGAAUACGUUCCCGGGCCUU